rnacentral:lncRNA from 1 species
UGGGAUAAUUUUGCUUUGUGCUUUACAAGAGCAAGCUUAUUAUAAACAAUGGCAAGGAAGAACAUCUCCUUAUUUUCGGAUGUUCUAUUCAUAACCUUCUUUAUCAUUGUUUUAUCCAUAAAUAAAGGUAUUAUCACUUUCUUACUCUCACUUUUUUUACAACAUAUCUACAGAUAUAAUCAAUUUAUGUAGAACAGUGUAUUAUAUAAAGUAAAGAUUUCUUUCAUUUGAGUACUUUUAUAUAUAUAGUUAGCAUAUUAAAAAGUUUUAACGAAAUCACUAAAAUUAUUUAUAUUGACGUGACACAGGACUCGUAAGUGCUCAACAACCCCCGCUUUUAGACAUGGGACCAUGUUACGGAGGUCCUGAUGGAUGUAAUAAAUAUUGCUUGAAUAUGGGGUAUAAUGGUGGAAUUUGUAAAAUUAUUCCUUUAAGAAAUCCUGGAUCUCACGGAGAUUAUGACUGUUUUUGUGAGACGACAUCAGCCACAAGAAAAUUAUGAACAAACAAGUGUAUCUCCUCUUUUGUCUACAUGGGAUAAUGGAUCAAUACAAAGAUAUACAAAAAAGUUUAUUU